rnacentral:rRNA from 1 species
UAUGUGAUCGUCUCUCGCAUAUCAAUAAGCGGAGGAAAAGAAACUAACAAGGAUUCCCCUAGUAACGGCGAGUGAAGCGGGAAGAGCUCAAAUUUGAAAUCUUAAAGGGUUUCCCUUUACGAAUUGUAGUUUAAAGAAGUGUUUUCUGUUGAGGUUUUGGUAAAAGUUCUUUGGAAUAGGACAUCAUAGAGGGUGAGAAUCCCGUAUUUGACCUUUACUUUCAACUUUGUGAUACACUUUCAAAGAGUCGGAUUGUUUGGGAAUGCAGUCCAAAAUGGGUGGUAAAUUUCAUCUAAAGCUAAAUAUUGGCGAGAGACCGAUAGCGAACAAGUACCGUGAGGGAAAGAUGAAAAGAACUUUGAAAAGAGAGUUAAACAGUACGUGAAAUUGUCAAAAGGGAAGCGUUUGACACCAGUGUUGUUUUUCUGAAAAUCAAUUAAAGAACUGUUUAUGCUAAGUUGUUUAGACUUUAUCAGCUAUCUGUUUAGUUUUGAGCUUUUCUUUAAUGCACUUUUCAGUUAACAAGUCAACAUCAAUUUCUUUUGCUGUAAAAAAGCUUGAGGAAGGUGGCUUGAGAUUCGUCUUAAGUGUUUAUAGCCUCUUGCCUAUGCAGUCGGAGAGAUUGAGGUCUGCAGCGUAGAUCCUUCGGGGCUAAAUGCAUUUGUGCUAAGUUAUAGCAUUUUAUAGACAACUUGUUGACUAUGAUUUGUCUUGUAGCUUACUCGCUUAUGUUAUUUUACCUACGCUUAGGAUGUUGAUAUGCAUGACUGAUA